UACGUAGGGUGCAAGCGUUAAUCGGAAUUACUGGGCGUAAAGCGUGCGCAGGCGGUGAUGUAAGACAGAUGUGAAAUCCCCGGGCUCAACCUGGGAACUGCAUUUGUGACUGCAUCGCUAGAGUACGGCAGAGGGGGAUGGAAUUCCGCGUGUAGCAGUGAAAUGCGUAGAUAUGCGGAGGAACACCGAUGGCGAAGGCAAUCCCCUGGGCCUGUACUGACGCUCAUGCACGAAAGCGUGGGGAGCGAACAGG
rnacentral:rRNA from 1 species